CGCACAUUGCGCCCUUUGGCAUUCCGAGGGGCAUGCCCGUUCGAGCGUCAUUAAAUCUAAUCAAGCCUGGCUUGGUAUUGGGCAUCGGGGUUAACCCGUGCCUCAAUUUCACCGGCUGGCUGUUGCCCGUCUCAGCGUUGUGACAUACUUCUCGCUGGCGAUGGAGGCAGGCCAUGCCGUUAACUCUCCCAAAUUUUUAACGAAAAUUUGAUUAAGGUUGACCUCGGAUCGGGUAGGAAUACCCGCUGAACUUAA
rnacentral:misc_RNA from 1 species